GGGGAAUAUUGGACAAUGGGCGAAAGCCUGAUCCAGCAACGCCGCGUGAGGGAUGACGGCCUUCGGGUUGUAAACCUCUUUCAGUAUCGACGAAGCGCCCUGUCGGGUGGUGACGGUAGAUACAGAAGAAGGACCGGCCAACUACGUGCCAGCAGCCGCGGUAAUACGUAGGGUCCGAGCGUUGUCCGGAAUUAUUGGGCGUAAAGGGCUCGUAGGCGGUUUGUCGCGUCGGGAGUGAAAUCUUACAGCUUAACUGUGAACUUGCUUUCGAUACGGGCAGACUUGAGGCAUUCAGGGGAGAACGGAAUUCCUGGUGUAGCGGUGAAAUGCGCAGAUAUCAGGAGGAACACCGGUGGCGAAGGCGGUUCUCUGGGAAUGUUCUGACGCUGAGGAGCGAAAGUGUGGGGAGCGAAC
rnacentral:rRNA from 1 species